rnacentral:misc_RNA from 1 species
UCCGGUUUGUCACCGGCAGUCUCAUUAGAGUGCCCUUGCGUAGCAACUAAUGAUAAGGGUUGCGCUCGUUGCGGGACUUAACCCAACAUCUCACGACACGAGCUGACGACAGCCAUGCAGCACCUGUGUCCAGGUUCCCUUUCGGGCACAACCAGAUCUCUCCGGCCUUCCUGGCAUGUCAAACGUAGGUAAGGUUUUUCGCGUUGCAUCGAAUUAAUCCACAUCAUCCACCGCUUGUGCGGGUCCCCGUCAAUUCCUUUGAGUUUUAACCUUGCGGCCGUACUCCCCAGGCGGUCAACUUCACGCGUUAGCUGCGUUACCAAGUCAAUUAAGACCCGACAACUAGUUGACAUCGUUUAGGGCGUGGACUAC